UUUUGGGUUAUUUAUGCCCCUGGUCCUUCUGUAUUUUUGGAUUGUUUUAAUUCGGUCCUAUUUUUAUUUUUUUAUUUUUCUUAAAUUUGACCGCUUCCUUUUUUGCGCGUUUCAAUUUAAUCCUCGGCUCAAGAAAGGAAGCGUGUCCAGGGGAUUGGUUUAUUUACCUAUUUGGCCCUCUACCCUUUCGCGCCAUUUUAUUUUGGUCCUUCUUUGUUUAUUUUAUUAUAGUUUUUA
rnacentral:lncRNA from 1 species